UACGUAGGGUGCAAGCGUUGUCCGGAAUUACUGGGUGUAAAGGGAGCGCAGGCGGAUUGGCAAGUCCUUGGUGAAAUCCUGAGGCUUAACCUCAGGACUGCCAAUGAUACUGCUGAUCUUGAGUACAGAAGAGGAAGAUGGAAUUCCUGGUGUAGCGGUGAAAUGCGUAGAUAUCAGGAAGAACACCGGUGGCGAAGGCGGUCUUCUGGUCUGUAACUGACGCUCAUGCUCGAAAGCGUGGGGAG
rnacentral:rRNA from 1 species